AGUGUCGUGGCGCAGUGGAAGCGCACUAGGCUCAUAACCUAGGGGUCCCUUGAUCGAGACGAGGCGACGCUA
rnacentral:tRNA from 1 species